rnacentral:rRNA from 1 species
UUGAGCUCAGAUCAGGUAGGACUACCGCCUGAACUUAAGCAUAUCAAUAAGGCGAGGAACAGAAACCAACAGGGAUUCCCCUAGUAGUGGCGAAUGAACCGGGAAAAGCUCAAGUUUGAAAUCUGGUUUAACCAGAGUUGUAAGCUGAUGAGGCGUCGACCGACGCGGUUCGGGCUCAAUUUCCUUGGAAUAGGAGGUCAUAGAGGGUGAGAACCCCGUCUGUGGCUCGAGUGCCGUCGUCCUUGUGUCGUGCCCUCUAAGAGUCGGGUUGUUUGGGAAUGCAGCUCAAAAUGGGUGGUAAAUUUCAUCUAAGGCUAAAUACUGGCGAGAGACCGAUAGGAAACAAGUAGAGUGAUCGAAAGAUGAAAAGUACUUUGAAAAGAGAGUGAAACAGUGCGUGAAAUUGUUGAAAGGGAAGCGUUUGGCAUCAGCCCGUGGCCGUCGUCGAUCAUCCGGGCUUCUGUCCGGUGCACUCGUCGACGGUCGGGCCAGCGUCGGCUCUGCCUGUCGGAGAAAGGUCUUGGGGACGUGCCCGCCCUCGGGCGGUGUUAUAACCCGGGACGUCAUGCGAUUGGUGGGGCCGUGGUCUGCGGUCUGUACCU